UACGGGGGGGGCAAGCGUUGUCCGGAAUUAUUGGGCGUAAAGAGCGUGUAGGCGGUCCGGUAAGUCAGCUGUGAAAGUCAAGGGCUCAACCCUUGAAUGCCGGUUGAUACUGUCGGGCUAGAGUCCGGAAGAGGCGAGUGGAAUUCCCGGUGUAGCGGUGAAAUGCGCAGAUAUCGGGAGGAACACCAAUGGCGAAGGCAGCUCGCUGGGACGGUACUGACGCUGAGACGCGAAAGCGUGGGGAGCAAACAGG
rnacentral:rRNA from 1 species